CCGUGUUUUAUCCCCCCCGUCCGUGUUUUAUCCCCCCGUCCGUAUCCGUGCCAUCCGUAUCCAUGCCGUCCGUAUCCGUGUUUUAUCCCUACUCAUUCCUUGGUAUUGUCAUUGAUGAAUGUUUGACCUGGAAAGAUCAUAUAGCUAAGGAAACAAAGAAAUUAAUUACAGCUGCUGGUAUAAUAGCUAAAAUACGACAUUUCGUAAACCGAAAUACUGUAAAACUAAUAUACUAUGCAUUAGUCUAUCCAUACUUGAUUUAUAGCAACCUAACAUGGGGUAAUACUUAAAAAACAGAAUUAAAAAAAUAAUGAAUAUACAAAAAAAAUAAUGCGUCUAAUGACAUUCAAAUCUUAUUUUGACCACAGUGAGUCAAUUUUCAAAGAUUUAAAUAUCCCCAACAUCUUCAAAAUCAACGACUAUAUAACUGCCUUAUUUAUGUUUCGAUACCACCAUCUUAAUAAUUUACCAGAAUAUUUUAAAGAUUAUUUUGUGACAAAUAACCAAAUUCAUCAAUAUAACACGAGAAAUGCAUCAAAACAUCACAAAUGUUAUAAAAGAACAAAUUAUGUAGAACACUCUCUCUCAUGACUCUCAAAUAAAGCAUUAAAGGAGUUGACGUAUGGAAUUCGUUAGAAACAAAAUUUAUAGAUAUAAUUCCUACAGCACUUUCAUGCAAAAAGCAAAUUAAA